rnacentral:rRNA from 1 species
ACAUGCAAGUCGAGCGAACAGACGAGGAGCUUGCUCCUCUGACGUUAGCGGCGGACGGGUGAGCAACACGUGGAUAACCUACCUAUAAGACUGGGAUAACUUCGGGAAACCGGAGCUAAUACCGGAUAAUAUAUUGAACCGCAUGGUUCAAUAGUGAAAGACGGUUUUGCUGUCACUUAUAGAUGGAUCCGCGCCGCAUUAGCUAGUUGGUAAGGUAACGGCUUACCAAGGCAACGAUGCGUAGCCGACCUGAGAGGGUGAUCGGCCACACUGGAACUGAGACACGGUCCAGACUCCUACGGGAGGCAGCAGUAGGGAAUCUUCCGCAAUGGGCGAAAGCCUGGCGGAGCAACGCCGCGUGAGUGAUGAAGGUCUUCGGAUCGUAAAACUCUGUUAUUAGGGAAGAACAAAUGUGUAAGUAACUAUGCACGUCUUGACGGUACCUAAUCAGAAAGCCACGGCUAACUACGUGCCAGCAGCCGCGGUAAUACGUAGGUGGCAAGCGUUAUCCGGAAUUAUUGGGCGUAAAGCGCGCGUAGGCGGUUUUUUAAGUCUGAUGUGAAAGCCCACGGCUCAACCGUGGAGGGUCAUUGGAAACUGGAAAACUUGAGUGCAGAAGAGGAAAGUGGAAUUCCAUGUGUAGCGGUGAAAUGCGCAGAGAUAUGGAGGAACACCAGUGGCGAAGGCGACUUUCUGGUCUGUAACUGACGCUGAUGUGCGAAAGCGUGGGGAUCAAACAGGAUUAGAUACCCUGGUAGUCCACGCCGUAAACGAUGAGUGCUAAGUGUUAGG